GCCAAUCAGAGAACGGUAUUCGUGAUAGAACGCUAGUAGAUUUAUACUAAUCUGCAAUAGAAAUUGGUCUAUGAUAUCUGUAUAGAAAGGUGAUUGCUGCAUUCAAACUAAGUGAAAAAAAUGUUAGUUCCCACUACUCAUUUGGAGAAGAAAACGAUGAUUUGUCCCUCGCAAGGCAAGCCAUUUAGAAAGCCACCAUUUGGUCAUGUGCGCACGCUAAGUGUGCAUAACAUUCUGUACAGUGAGGAUGCACAAUGCAAUACAGAGGAAUCACCUCAAUAUAGCUUACUAUAUAACAUAGAGAUUUAGCCAAGCCUAAAAGCGGUGCUGGUGGGCCGGGUUGUUAAGAGACCGAUUAAGCUAACCCAGGAUGAGCGAGAAUUUUGAAAUGAGUUUUGUAACUUUGCGGUGAGGUUUUCUGUAUAUUGUUUGGCCUUCUGUUUUGAGUUUGAAUAAUCCCAAAAUACACUAAACAAAAGCAAUGAGAAACAUUUGUAUACAAGGAAAAUAUUAUAAUUUGGUGAACUUUUAAUCCUUGGUUAGGGUUAACCGGCUUCCGAACAACCUGUCCCUGUUAACAACAGGUUAACCUCACGUCAGCCCGAAAUCCAAUCAAAAAAACAGCACUUGGUCAGGGAUUAACUAAAAAAAAGAACACAUGACCUUGAUGAGCUCUAAACUUGAGCCCAUGAUAUGGUCACUUGAUACUGGUCAGCGGAUACUUUGUUUUGACAGUUGUCAACUGACUAUAACAGGGAUGUCCAAUAUCAGAGGAGGCUACAAACCAAGGCUGCAUGUCUCUCUCAACCUAUUGGCUGGAGUAUGGCCGCCAUCUUGCAGGACUCCACCACCAUCACCAUCGUCGUUUUGAAUAUGGACCCACGAGCAAUACCGCUAGCCAUGAUAACCAUGAGAAAACCAAUUCAUGGGUUUCCUUUUCUUUCCUAUAUGAGAAUGGGGCACCGGAGCUCUGCUAUAAUAUAUAUAGCUUCUUCCCAGUAGGCAAUAGAGAGUGAUGAAUGCCUUUCAUCUUCUUUUGUUUACUUUCUUAGGUUGGCAUCUUGUAUGAUAAAACAGAAAUGGGAAGAGACCUGACACUGAAGUACAUCAGUGAGAAUCUUUCACCUCAGAAGGAACAUUCAGCGCCCUUGAUUCUUCAUUACAGAGCUAUGGAUGUGAGAUUUACAAGGUGAUCGACAUGGCAUCCUUUCGUCGAGAGAACCUGUAUAGUUAUUUAUACCUGACUGUCAGAAGAGAACGAUGCCCGUGCUCUUGUGUUUUAAGGGCUUAAAGUUUUCUAAGCCUUCUUGGCGAUGUGUUAAAAUGUUCGUUGAAUUUAAUUUUUAUAAGGUAUAGUAAUAAAUAAAUAUCUUUGUUCAAAUUUG